rnacentral:rRNA from 1 species
UACGAAGGGGGCUAGCGUUGUUCGGAUUUACUGGGCGUAAAGCGCACGUAGGCGGAUCGUUAAGUCGGGGGUGAAAUCCUGGAGCUCAACUCCAGAACUGCCUUUAAUACUGCCAAUCUCGAGUCCGGAAGAGGUGAGUGGAACUCCUAGUGUAGAGGUGGAAUUCGUAGAUAUUAGGAAGAACACCAGUGGCGAAGGCGGCUCACUGGUCCGGUACUGACGCUGAGGUGCGAAAGCGUGGGGAGCAAACAGG